AUGAAUGUCACUUACAAACCAACAAGCUGUGAAGAAAAACAAAGAAAGACGUUACCGGAUCGGAAGGAGACGAUGGCGGCACAGCGGAAGGGCUUGCGAGAUCGCUGCAGUUCCGUUGGUGGUCUUGGGGGUGGCGGUUGCGCUGAGAACUGCGGUCAAAUAGAAAAUCGGAACAACACUGUUUACUUGAAUGACUCAGAGGUUGGAGAAAAGAUGGGAUGGUGGGCGAAAAGCUGGUGCAGUGGUUUACAGUUUAACAGUGGUGGAAGAUUGAUGUUUGUGCAGAUUUUUUUUGUAACUACUGCUAUUGCUGAAGGUAUUUGA